rnacentral:rRNA from 1 species
AACUUUCAACAACGGAUCUCUUGGUUCUCGCAUCGAUGAAGAACGCAGCGAAAUGCGAUAAGUAAUGUGAAUUGCAGGAUUCAGUGAAUCAUCGAAUCUUUGAACGCACAUUGCGCCCCUUGGUAUUCCGAGGGGCAUGCCUGUUCGAGCGUCAUUA